GAGGGUGUAGCUCAGUGGUAGAGGAUGUGCAUAGCAAGCACAAGGUCCUGGGUUCAAUCCCUAGGACCUCCA
rfam:Camelus ferus unplaced genomic scaffold scaffold365, whole genome shotgun sequence.